AAUGAACGUCGGCGGCGUGGAUUAGGCAUGCAAGUCGUACGGUGGUUUCCUUUCGGGGAGGCCACAGUGGCGAAAGGGAGAGUAACGCGUGGUUACAUGCCCUCGAGACCGGGAUAGCGGCGGGAAACUGCCGGUAAUACCGGAUAAUAUCUUUGGAUCAAAGGUGUGAUUCCGCUCGAGGAUUGGACCGCGUUCUAUUAGCUUGUUGGCGGGGUAAUGGCCCACCAAGGCGACGAUGGAUACCGGGUGUGAGAGCAUGGCCCGGCUCACUGGGACUGAGACACUGCCCAGACACCUACGGGUGGCUGCAGUCGAGAAUCUUCGGCAAUGGGGGCAACCCUGACCGAGCGACGCCGCGUGCGGGACGAAGGCCUUCGGGUUGUAAACCGCUGUCAGUUGGGAGGAAAUGCUGGGGGGUUCUCCCCUCAGUUUGACCGAUCUUCAGAGGAAGGACGGGCUAAGUUCGUGCCAGCCGCCGCGGUAA
rnacentral:rRNA from 1 species